rnacentral:misc_RNA from 1 species
GAUGAAGAACGUAGCGAAAUGCGAUACUUGGUGUGAAUUGCAGAAUCCCGUGAACCAUCGAGUCUUUGAACGCAAGUUGCGCCCGAAGCCAUUUGGUUGAGGGCACGUCUGCCUGGGCGUCACAUAUCGUUGCCCGAUGCCUAUUGCACUGUGAUAGGAAAUUCUAGGGCGAAAGAUGGCUUCCCGUGAGCGUUGUUGCCUCGCGGUUGGUUGAAAAUUGAGUCCUUGGUAGGGUGUGCCAUGAUAGAUGGUGGUCGAGUUUGCACGAGACCGAUCAUGUGUGCGCUCCCCAAAAUAUGGACUCUUUGACCCCACACGCGUCUUUUGACGCACAUGACGAGACCUCAGGUCAGGCGGGGCUACCCGCUGAGUUUAAGCAUAUCAAUAAGCGGAGGA